AUACUUACCUGGACGGGGUCGACGACAGAUCAAGAAGAGCCGUGGCUUAGGCUAGUGGUCCACAUUGCACUUGGUGGAUGAGCUGGCUUACCAUCUCCAAGUGGAAUAGUGGACGUCAUAAUUUAUGUUAGAGGGAGUUUGUGUUCGCGCGGCCCCUG
rnacentral:snRNA from 1 species